rnacentral:misc_RNA from 1 species
GAUGAAGAACGCAGUGAAAUGCGAUAAGUAAUGCGAAUUGCAGAAUUUCCGUGAGUCAUCGAAUCUUUGAACGCACAUUGCGCCCACUGGUAUUCCGGUGGGCAUGCCUGUUCGAGCGUCAUUAUCCUCCCUCAAACCCCGGGUUUGGUGUUGGACCCAAGUUGUGUGAACAACUGGUCUCAAAGACAAUGACGGCGUCCGUGGGACCCUCGGUGCAACGAGCUUUUAGGAGCACGCAUCGAGUUGCAAGGACCUUCCGGGCCGGUCUCCUUUACCAUUUUACAAGGUUGACCUCGGAUCAGGUAGGAAUACCCGCUGAACUUAAGCAUAUCAAUAAGCGGAGGA